AGAUGGAAUGAAGCAAAGACAGAUGCUUUAGGGGCAAGGAGGGUGGGAGUGGAUUCUAAAUGGGCUUGUCUCAUGAGCCCAAACUCACCUCCACAGAGGUGCUUCUUAGAGCGAGGAGCUCGAGAGGCAGACGGAGGGGCUCCACCUUUGGGCUCUCGGGCGUGGUCUGUGAGGGGCCAGAGGCUGAAGGCCUGUGUCUCCUGGGCAGGAGGAGAAACCCUGCUCCCUCCGCAGGGGCUGAUGCAGGUUGCCCAGGGGGUUGCCCAGCCAGCCUGCCCUCACCUGGCUCCUGCGUCCGGGGCAGUGGGCAGCCAGUCCCCUACACUGACGACCUUGUGACAGCAGCCAGGCAAGGUGCUGGAGUCUAUUUCUGGAGCUCUUUAGGGGAAACAGCAAGCUGCCUGGGACCAGAUGGUCCGGGCGGCGCCUUCCUUAUCUAAAGUGAGCUGAUGUUGGUUGAGGAAAUGCAGGCAUCGCUGGUGCAGGGGAGAGCUAACCCGACCCUUAGGGCCUUGGGGGUCUUUCACCCUUGGCAGUACCUUCUCAACUGCAGACCGACCACCGAUGUGGAGCAGCUACGCCCCCUGGUGGUGAAUACAGGGAUAAAGUUACUCAGGGGCAGCUGCUUCACCCCGCAUCUUGGUGCAUGGCAGUUUCUCCCUCAAAGCUCACAAAAAGAUGACUGUGCGUCCAGGCUUGAGCCCCCCAGCCUCCCUCUCUUUCUUCUGAUUACAGUUUUGGUCCCUAGCGAGGAGCUCCUUUCAAUUUUGUGGAUUGACAAGAUACAAUGGAAAAAGCACUCGAGCUUUGCCGUGAACAGGAGACUGGUUCUAAGGAGAACACUGAAUGAGUCACUUUUUCUUUUUGCACCACGGAGGAAAAGUAACUACCUGUUUGAAUGUCUUCGUUCAAGCCUAGCUGUUCCCAUAUCUGUAAUGUGGAGAUGAUGACGGAGACGCUGCCGGCCCAUCAGUGUCGUGUGGGCAGUCCCUGAAGCUCCUUACUGGACAUUCCUUUUAUGAGCACUGCGACUUCAUCUCUCAGACGCUGGAUGCUACUGGCAGGAAACAAGCCAAAAGAAGGAAUUCUUGUUCUCCUUCAGGGAAACGCUUUCACGGUGGCGACUCUUUCUACAUGUAAAUUAAUGGAACUUUUGCUACAGUUUCUUUCUCUCUUUCUUUCUUUUUCGUACUAACAACUUAAAACUAAAAUGAACUGAGUUGUGUGAAUGGUCUGAAGGGUCAAUUCUUCGCAUAGGUGCCCAUUUGGGAGCAAUGUGCAGUGUGUUUUAAAAUUGUUUUCAAUAAUUUGUUUUGGU
rnacentral:lncRNA from 1 species